UCGGCACAUAUACUACAAUUGGAAAGAUACAGAGAAGAUUAGCAUGGCCCCUGCGCAAGAAUGACACACAAAUUCAUGAAGCGUUCCAUAUUAAA
ensembl:snRNA Gm25930 predicted gene, 25930